rnacentral:rRNA from 1 species
GACGAACGCUGGCGGCGUGCCUAAUACAUGCAAGUUGAGCGCUGAAGGUUGGUACUUGUACCAACUGGAUGAGCAGCGAACGGGUGAGUAACGCGUGGGGAAUCUGCCUUUGAGCGGGGGACAACAUUUGGAAGCGAAUGCUAAUACCGCAUAAAAACUUUAAACACAAGUUUUAAGUUUGAAAGAUGCAAUUGCAUCACUCAAAGAUGAUCCCGCGUUGUAUUAGCUAGUUGGUGAGGUAAAGGCUCACCAAGGCGAUGAUACAUAGCCGACCUGAGAGGGUGAUCGGCCACAUUGGGACUGAGACACGGCCCAAACUCCUACGGGAGGCAGCAGUAGGGAAUCUUCGGCAAUGGACGAAAGUCUGACCGAGCAACGCCGCGUGAGUGAAGAAGGUUUUCGGAUCGUAAAACUCUGUUGGUAGAGAAGAACGUUGGUGAGAGUGGAAAGCUCAUCAAGUGACGGUAACUACCCAGAAAGGGACGGCUAACUACGUG